GCCGACUUAGCUCAACGGGAGAGGGCCCGCGUUGUAGGCGUGGCGGUUGCUGGUUCAUCCGGCAGCCGGCUCCA
rnacentral:tRNA from 1 species